GGCAGCACCACCUGCUUUAGUCACUGCUAUCAGCAUUCUAGGGAACUGUAUUUCUGAUAUUUACUGCUGUAGUCAGAGCCAAAUCUCAAGGAAAGGUGCACAGAAGGUAAAUGUUCUGUAGCUUGAGGAAUGCUGGCCAGAUCAGACCCAGUUUGCCACAGUACACACAAAUCUUAACACCACUGGAAAACACAACACCAGGAGACAGAAACAAACAGAUAAACUGGAAGGACAACUUUAAAAGAGAGAAGAGGCCUUGUGAGGUGCCACAUCUGGAAUUCUGUGUCCAGGGUGGGCUGUGCUGCUGUGCAACACCUCCAGUUCAGAAAGCCUCUGCUGCCUGCAGUGGCACCAUUCACAGAACAGAGAGCAGCCUCUGGAUUAUCCAGGACAGACACAAGGUGGGAAGGUCUCCACAGUCUGGACUGGCUCCAGGGAAAGUCCAUUGAAGAUUAUAGAUCUUGUUGUGCUGUAUCUGCUAAAAGUGUGGAAAAUUGGCCAGACUAAAAUGAAUAGAGCCAUAACUGACACCAGCAGCCAGAGCAAGGCAUCAGAAAUACAUACAGUAACACAGUGAGCUGAUUUGGGUGGGAGAAAGUUCCCUUCUCUUGCCUUAGAAAUUCAGCAGUGAUUUUUAAUUCUGCCAUUUGUCAGAAAAUGUACUAAAAUACAGCCAGAUAUGAAAGCUUAAGAGAGAUGCAGCCAUCAUCAGAGAGGAGCUGCAUUGUCAUAAACCAUCUUUUUCUCAAUUUAUUAGUGUUAUAAAAUCUGACAGAAAAUGAAAGUGGAAGAAACUCUUUUGCUGACUGUUUCUAGUGGGGGGUGUUUGCUGAGGAGUGACUCUCAGGCUCUGCAGCAGGACCAGCAGGUCAGGGUAAGCAAAUCCUGCUUAUUAACAGUGUUCCACAGUCCUGGGUGCACCCACCUCAGAAAGGAAACCAGUCCACCUGCAUGGAGAUGCUCUGAGCUGAAGGCAAUGCCUUCCCCUUAGAAUAAAAACUGUGUAAACCCCCCA
rnacentral:lncRNA from 1 species